rnacentral:lncRNA from 1 species
CGGGAAAGCAGUCCUGACCUCCCGGGACAAGACGACGGUCCACUAAACUGGAAGUGGGUACUGCACUGGCUCUUGAGGACGCUUCACACAGGUGAACCAACCAAUGGGCAAAAGGAGGCCCUUCCAGCUGGGCGCUUGCUUCUGACCGUCCAGAGCCUGGACUGCCCCGGGGUGCACCAUCUGCCACGAAGUACAUCGUGACUCGGGGACCCGGGGCACCCCUUGGUGCUCCCACCCGUGUGAUCCAGGUAAGGCUCCACGCUGGCACGGUCAGUGCCCGGGCUUGGAAGCUUGGCCAGCUGAGGUGCUUCCUGGGAGAAAGGAACAGGAGUGGGGUGGCCGUGUGACUGCAAGACCAGGAGCAGAAGGGAGCCGAGGGACAAGGUGUCCAGGACCGGUUGGCGCAUGGCUGUGCCUAGAUGCCAGAGUCCCUCUCCCUACACAGGGCUAAAUCAGCGUGGCCACCACAGACCUUCAGCUCCAGGUUCACAGGACGCAGUUGGGCAGCGGUGGCCGUGGGCUUUCGUGUCUGGAAGUGGGGAGCAGCUGACAUCCUCGAGGGGUGCUCCAGACUCAGGUCUGUCCCGUGAAGUUUGAGAAACUGAUGUGACUCCAUUUUUGAAAAACCAGCCUCUACCUCAGCAGGGCCUGUCCAAAGGGAGGGUGGCCCUUGUCCUUGGAAAACCUGUUCCUAGGCGCAUAAGCUACGCUGCUGAGUCCUCGGUCCUUACCAGAGGUCCUUGACUUAGCAAAUGCAAGUUCCUGGAAAGACCUUCUCUCUCUACCCCCUCUACUGACCUUCAUUUCUUGGAAAGACCAAAAGAAUGCCUGAGGCCUGAUUGGGACUUAGUGACAACCAACCAGAGUGAGACACCCAGAUACCCAGCCCUCCCAGGGGUUUCGGCCGCCCUGAGUUUAGCGUUUACACUCUUGCAACCCCUCGAGGCCUAAACCAAUCAGUUCAAACCUAUCCACCACUUGAACUAACCAAUCACCUACCCAACUUGUUCCCGCCGGUGAGUGUGCUCAUCAGUGUUAAGAGUUGUUGUGUGACUUUCCCGCGGUGUGGAAUGACUUGCUGUGUGAUGUUGUGACACAUAGAGUAUCCCCCAAACCUAUAAAAUCUCACUGGACAAAAGACCGGGACUCACUCCCUGGGACCGCUG